GUUGUAUGGUUAAGUGACUAAGCGUACACGGUGGAUGCCUUGGCAGUCAGAGGCGAUGAAAGGCGUAAUAACUUGCGAUAAGCCCAGAUUAGGUAGUAAUAACCUUUUGAGUCUGGGAUUCCUGAAUGGGGAAACCCACUUGCAUAAGCAAGUAUCCUGUUGUGAAUACAUAGCAACAGGAGGCAAACCGGGGGAACUGAAACAUCUAAGUACCCCGAGGAAGAGAAAUCAACCG
rnacentral:rRNA from 1 species